GCGUAAUUGGUUUAGUGGUAAAAUUCUCCGUUGCCAUCAGAGCAACGCUCGGGGAGCCCUGGGUUCGAUUCCCAGAUUACGCA